rnacentral:rRNA from 1 species
AGCAGCCGCGGUAAUUCCAGCUCCAAUAGCGUAUAUUAAAGUUGUUGCAGUUAAAAAGCUCGUAGUUGAAUUUCGGGACCAAUCUGCCGGUCGUGCCUCCGGUACGCACUGGUUUUAUUGGUUUCUCCCUUCUGACGAACUAUGAUGUCAUUAAUUUGGUGUCAUGGGGAAUCAGGACUGUUACUUUGAAAAAAUUAGAGUGUUUAUAGCAGGCUCACGCUUGAAUACAUUAGCAUGGAAUAAUGAAAUAGGACGUUUGACCCUAUUUUGUUGGUUUCUAGGAUCGACGUAAUGAUUAAUAGGGAUCGUUGGGGGCAUUAGUAUUCAAUUGUCAGAGGUGAAAUUCUUGGAUUUAUUGAAGACUAACUACUGCGAAAGCAUUUGCCAAGGAUGUUUUCAUUAAUCAAGAACGAAAGUUAGGGGAUCGAAGACGAUCAGAUACUGUCGUAGUCUUAACCAUAAACUAUGCCGACUAGGGAUCGGAUGAUGUUAAUUUUUUAAUGACUCAUUCGGCGCCUUA